rnacentral:rRNA from 1 species
UCCGCCAGGGUACUACAAGCAUAAGCUUAAAACCCAAAGGACUUGGCGGUGCUUUAGAUCCACCUAGAGGAGCCUGUUCUAGAACCGAUAACCUUCGUUAAACCUCACCCUUUCUUGUUAAUUUACCGCCUAUAUACCGCCGUCGUCAGCUUACCUUAUGAAAGAACAAUAGUAAACAAAAACGGUUUAACCCAAAACGUCAGGUCGAGGUGUAGCGAAUGAAAGGGAAAGAAAUGGGCUACAUUUUCUGUAACAGAAAAUUACGAAAUAUAAUUAUGAAAAAAUAUAUAAAGGAGGAUUUAGCAGUAAAUGGGAAUAGAGUGCCCC